CAGAGAAUUCAAAUGACACAAUUCGAAAUCAGUAACCAUGCUCUUAAAAUAAAGAAAGGUAGAUACAGGUGGGUUCAGGCAACAGCUAGAAUUUGUGAUCUUUGAAAACAAAGUGAAGGACGUACUCUUCUAUCUUCUAAGUGUUCAUCUUCAAGUGAGAGAGUUUCCAUCAUUUCAAUUGUAGCUGAAAAUUCCCCCCCCCC
rnacentral:lncRNA from 1 species